CUCCUUUGACGUUAGCGGCGGACGGGUGAGUAACACGUGGGUAACCUACCUAUAAGACUGGGAUAACUUCGGGAAACCGGAGCUAAUACCGGAUAAUAUUUCGAACCGCAUGGUUCGAUAGUGAAAGGUGGUUUUGCUAUCACUUAUAGAUGGACCCGCGCCGUAUUAGCUAGUUGGUAAGGUAACGGCUUACCAAGGCGACGAUACGUAGCCGACCUAAGAGGGUGAUCGGCCACACUGGAACUGAGACACGGUCCAGACUCCUACGGGAGGCAGCAGUC
rnacentral:rRNA from 1 species